GCAUUGGUGGUUCAGUGGUAGAAUUCUCGCCUGCCAAGCAGGAGGCUGGGGUUCGAUUCCCAGCCAAUGCA